GAACAAGGUUUCCGUAGGUGAACCUGCGGAAGGAUCAUUAAAGAGUAAGGGUGCUCAGCGCCCGACCUCCAACCCUUUGUUGUUAAAACUACCUUGUUGCUUUGGCGGGACCGCUCGGUCUCGAGCCGCCGGGGAUUCGUCCCAGGCGAGUGCCCGCCAGAGUUAAACCAAACUCUUGUUAUUAAACCGGUCGUCUGAGUUAAAAUUUUGAAUAAAUCAAAACUUUCAACAACGGAUCUCUUGGUUCUCGCAUCGAUGAAGAACGCAGCGAAAUGCGAUAAGUAAUGUGAAUUGCAGAAUUCAGUGAAUCAUCGAAUCUUUGAACGCACAUUGCGCCCCUUGGUAUUCCGAGGGGCAUGCCUGUUCGAGCGUCAUUACACCACUCAAGCUAUGCUUGGUAUUGGGCGUCCGUCCCCUCGGGGGCGCGCCUCAAAGACCUCGGCGAGGCCUCACCGGCUUUAGGCGUAGUAGAAUUUAUUCGAACGUCUGUCAAUGGAGAGGACUUCUGCCGACCGAAGCCUUUAUUUUUCUAGG
rnacentral:rRNA from 1 species